rnacentral:lncRNA from 1 species
AAAUCAUGCAGAAGUGAGAUAUUCUAGUUGACGUAUGUGCAGAAGCCUGAGUAUUCAAGGGAGAGCAGACCAGGCAUGAGAAAACACACAAAGGAAACUGAAGCAUGUACCAUUCGAUACUGUCAUUCCAGAUCCUCAUGGACUAUUGCCUGUUCUGAAAAAUAUUUGAAACUGCGCGGAAAGCUGCAUCUGUCUGUAUCUUUUCUUUUGUAAAUGACCUCACAUGUAAAUUCACCAAAUAAAUAUUACAUUCAAGCUUUUCAAUCUAUUCUUUAAAUAGAAGGAUAGGCAGUUUAUUCAUUUACCAUAGUAUUUGGUAAAUUCAUUCUCUUGUGGGCUCAAGCUAACUUUGACAUAUUAGACACGUUUGUAUAUGAAACACAGUAAGUUUUAGGUAUCAAAGAUGGAGUUUGCCAUUCUUCCUCCUGGUAAAACAAAAGCCCUAAGGAACAGCUAGUAGAACCAGCUUACUCUAUUCCUACCUUCACCUUACUUGUACUGCACAACAGCCUGGAAGGUCACCAGGCAGACCUGAGCCCUGUGGCUCAGCUUAUCCUCAAACUGGUUUCACCAGUGAGGGCUUUUUUUUUUUCCCCCACCAGUGACUUUUGAUCAGUCUUCAGCCACUUGGUCUUGUAAUCUGAAAAAUCCUACCAUCCUUAGGUAUUUGUGGUAUGAAUAAGUAAGAGAUCUCAGUGCAGUACUAAGCAGCUUUGGCUUUAUAACACAAUUCAAAUUGUGUUAGAUGGAAAUUCAAAUUGUAAAUAGUUGUUUUUCCCAGGAGAGCACAACGAAUUGUCAUCUUCUUAAGGCUGUUUAUAAACAGGAAGACUGUAUACUUACCCAAAAAAAUUUUGAGUAAUAAUGAAAGUAGUAAUUACCUAAGACUGUCCUGGGUAAAUUGAGUUGUAUGGUCUUUGUAUUUAUAAUGAAACAAUAUGGUAGUGGGAGAGCUAAUAACUAAUCAACCGUACAUUUAAUUGUCUGCAAAACUGUUUGAACAGUUCAGUCAGUUCAGUUCACUCAGUUGUGUCCAACUCUUUGUGACCCCAUGAGUUGCAGCACUCCAGGC